rnacentral:rRNA from 1 species
AGUGAACGCUGGCGGUAGGCCUAACACAUGCAAGUCGAACGGCAGCACAGUAAGAGCUUGCUCUUACGGGUGGCGAGUGGCGGACGGGUGAGGAAUACAUCGGAAUCUACUUUUUCGUGGGGGAUAACGUAGGGAAACUUACGCUAAUACCGCAUACGACCUACGGGUGAAAGCAGGGGAUCUUCGGACCUUGCGCGAUUGAAUGAGCCGAUGUCGGAUUAGCUAGUUGGCGGGGUAAAGGCCCACCAAGGCGACGAUCCGUAGCUGGUCUGAGAGGAUGGUCAGCCACACUGGAACUGAGACACGGUCCAGGGUCCUACGGGAGGCAGCAGUCGGGAAUAUUAGACAGUGGGCGCGAGCAUGAUCCAGUGAGAGCGAGUGUGUGAAGGAGGCGUUCGGGUUGUAAAGACCUUUUGUGGGGUAAGAAAAGUAGCAGGUUGAGACCAAGCUGUUGUGACGGUACCCAAUAAAUAAGCACCGGCUAACUACGUG